rnacentral:rRNA from 1 species
ACCCGUUGAUCCCGCGGGAGAUUGCUGCUAUCUGGAUUCCACUUAGCCAUGCAAGUCAGGUGCUCUUCGGAGAAACUGGCGGAACGCUUAGUAACACGUUGAUAAUCUAACCUAUGGUCUGGGAAAGCCUCGGGAAACUGAGGGUAACACCGGAUAGGAAAUUUUGGCUGGAAGGCCUUUUUUUCUGAACAUAGGAUGGGUCAGCGGCCGAUUAGCUUGAUGGUGAGGUAAUGGCUCACCAUGGCGAAGAUCGGUAGGGGCCUUGAGAGAGGUACCCCCAAGAAAGACACUGGGAAAAGGAUCCUAGCCCCACGGGGUGCAGCAGGCGGGAAAACUUUACAAUGCGCGCAAGCGCGAUAAGGGAAUCCAGAGUGCUUACGUUUAUGCGUAAGCUUUUGUUAAGAGUAAAGACCUUAGCGAAUAAGUGAUGGGAAAGACCGGUGCCAGCCGCCGCGGUAAUACCGGCGUCACGAGUGGCAAUCACGAUUAUUGGGCCUAAAGCGUCCGUAGCUGGUUUAAGCAGUUCCUUGUGAAAUCGUUCAACUCAAUUGAACGGCGUGCAAGGAAUACUUUUAAACUUGGAACUGGGAGAAGUAACAGGUAUUUCUGGGUUAGCGGUAAAAUGUUUUGACCCCGGAAGGACCACCAAUAGCGAAGGCAUCUUACUAGAACAGGUUCGACAGUCAGGGACGAAGGCUAGGGGAGCAAACCGGAUUAGAUACCCGAGUAGUCCUAGCAGUAAACGCUGUACGUUAGGCGUUGCCCGAACUACAAGUUUAGGCAGUGUCGUAGGGAAGCCGUUAAACGUACCGCCUGGGAAGUACGGUCGCAAGGCUGAAACUUAAAGGAAUUGGCGGGGGAGCACUACAACAGGUGCUUCGUGCGGUUUAAUUCAAUUCAACACGGAGAAUCUCACUAGGGCCAACGGCAGUAUGAAGAUCGGGCUGAAGACUCUAUCUGACGAGCCGAGAGGUGGUACAUGCCCAACGUCAGCUCGUGCCGCAAGGUGUCCAGUUAAGUCUGGUAACGAGCGAGACCUGUACCUACAAUUGCUAGCAACACGUCCGCGUGGAUUGAGCACAUUGUAGGGACCGCCGCGGAAACGCGGAGGAAGGUGCAGGCAACGUUAGGUCAGUAUGCCCCUAAUGCCCUAGGCUACACGCGCGAUGCAAUGAUGAAGACAAUGGGAUACAACCCCGAGAGGGGAAGUUAAACCUCGAAACUUCAUCCUAGUAUAGAUCGAGGCUUGCAACUCAGCCUCGUGACACCGGAAUCUGUAGUAAUCGGACGUUAUCAGCGUCCAGUGAAUAUGUCCCUGCUCCUUGCACACACCGCCCGUCAAGCCACUCGAGCAGGCUUUAAAUGAGGCUGCAUUUUUUGAUAUGGUCGAAUUUAAGGUCAGUGAGAUGGGCUAAGUCGUCACAAGGUA